rnacentral:rRNA from 1 species
GACGAACCACACGAACGUUAUUCGGAAUUACUGGGCUUAAAGGGUGCGUAGGCUGUGCAGAAAGUUAGGUGUGAAAAUCCCCCCGGCUCAACCGGGGGAAUUGCGCUUAAAACUACUGUGCUAGAGGAAUACAGAGGUGAGCGGAACUUCGGGUGGAGCGGUGAAAUGCGUUGAUAUCCGAAGGAACACCGGUGGCGAAAGCGGCUCACUGGGUAUUUUCUGACGCUGAUGCACGAAAGCUAGGGGAGCAAACGGG